UACGUAGGGUGCGAGCGUUAAUCGGAAUUACUGGGCGUAAAGGGUGCGCAGGCGGCGUCGCAAGUCAGGCGGGAAAUCCCCGGGCUUAACCUGGGAACUGCACUUGAAACUACGAUGCUGGAGUAUGGCAGAGGGAGGUGGAAUUCCGCGUGUAGCAGUGAAAUGCGUAGAGAUGCGGAGGAACACCGAUGGCGAAGGCAGCCCCCUGGGCUGACACUGACGCUCAGGCACGAAAGCGUGGGGAGCAAACAGG
rnacentral:rRNA from 1 species